CUGGUUCUGGUUCUUUGUGGUCUUUAGGGUGGACAGGUGUUCACCUUUGGAGAGGGAAGCCGAGGCCAGCUUGGGCACAAUGCAUCAGCUAACGAACUCCUACCCAAACUGGUAGAGGGUAUGGAUGGACUGGCCUCACAGAUAGCAUGUGGCAGGUAAUGACCAACAGCAUAAUGCUACUUAUACACAUAUAUACACAUAUAAUAAACAGAGUCCAUAAACAUGGUUCGGAGGACUGAGAAGAAAAAUUCAGGAAACAGGGAGUUUCGGAAUAAGUGAGGGUAGAAAAUACCAAGGGGACCGAGGAAUAACAUAGGAAUGUAAUAGAAGUAGCACCAGGAGUGUUUCCUGGAAACCAAUCUUGAACAUUCUCAGUCUGACUGUGUUUUUGUCUUACUAUAACUCUGCCAGCCAUCACACCCUGGUGCUGGGGUCCUCAGGUCAACUCUGGGCCUUUGGCAGUGGGGUCAAAGGUCAGCUAGGGACUGGCAUUACGGAGGGCUGCUUGCGACCCACCCCAGUGCUGCUGAAAAGGGCUUCUGGUGGGGCAGCAACAGUCAUACAUAACGACAUGAAGAUAUCAGUGGGAUGGAAUUCAAACUUCAUUUACACCCCUGAGAGUUCUGAAAGAGAACAGCCAAUCGGGAGGUUAGAUAAAGCCAGGCUGCAAAAAUGGCUGACGAUGGAGCAAGGAAAUGCAGAGGCGCAAAGAGAAAUAUCCUUGAUGUUCUCAACAAGUUCAAGUCUUGUGGCCAGUUUCACCAAAGCCAGG
ensembl:lncRNA